rnacentral:rRNA from 1 species
GAUGAACGCUGGCGGCGUGCCUAAUACAUGCAAGUCGAGCGAACAGACGAGGAGCUUGCUCCUCUGACGUUAGCGGCGGACGGGUGAGUAACACGUGGAUAACCUACCUAUAAGACUGGGAUAACUUCGGGAAACCGGAGCUAAUACCGGAUAAUAUAUUGAACCGCAUGGUUCAAUAGUGAAAGACGGUUUUGCUGUCACUUAUAGAUGGAUCCGCGCCGCAUUAGCUAGUUGGUAAGGUAACGGCUUACCAAGGCAACGAUGCGUAGCCGACCUGAGAGGGUGAUCGGCCACACUGGAACUGAGACACGGUCCAGACUCCUACGGGAGGCAGCAGUAGGGAAUCUUCCGCAAUGGGCGAAAGCUUGACGGAGCAACGCCGCGUGAGUGAUGAAGGUCUUCGGAUCGUAAAACUCUGUUAUUAGGGAAGAACAAAUGUGUAAGUAACUAUGCACGUCUUGACGGUGCCUAAUCAGAAAGCCACGGCUAACUACGUG